rnacentral:rRNA from 1 species
CUAAUACCGCAUAACGUCGCAAGACCAAAGAGGGGGACCUUCGGGCCUCUUGCCAUCGGAUGUGCCCAGAUGGGAUUAGCUAGUAGGUGGGGUAACGGCUCACCUAGGCGACGAUCCCUAGCUGGUCUGAGAGGAUGACCAGCCACACUGGAACUGAGACACGGUCCAGACUCCUACGGGAGGCAGCAGUGGGGAAUAUUGCACAAUGGGCGCAAGCCUGAUGCAGCCAUGCCGCGUGUAUGAAGAAGGCCUUCGGGUUGUAAAGUACUUUCAGCGGGGAGGAAGGGAGUAAAGUUAAUACCUUUGCUCAUUGACGUUACCCGCAGAAGAAGCACCGGCUAACUCCGUGCCAGCAGCCGCGGUAAUACGGAGGGUGCAAGCGUUAAUCGGAAUUACUGGGCGUAAAGCGCACGCAGGCGGUUUGUUAAGUCAGAUGUGAAAUCCCCGGGCUCAACCUGGGAACUGCAUCUGAUACUGGCAAGCUUGAGUCUCGUAGAGGGGGGUAGAAUUCCAGGUGUAGCGGUGAAAUGCGUAGAGAUCUGGAGGAAUACCGGUGGCGAAGGCGGCCCCCUGGACGAAGACUGACGCUCAGGUGCGAAAGCGUGGGGAGCAAACAGGAUU